UGCACUCUGGGAUAAGCCUGGGAAACUGGGUCUAAUACCGGAUAGGACCAUGCUUUAGUGUGUGUGGUGGAAAGUUUUUUCGGUGUAGGAUGAGCCCGCGGCCUAUCAGCUUGUUGGUGGGGUAAUGGCCUACCAAGGCGGCGACGGGUAGCCGGACUGAGAGGUUGGUCGGCCACAUUGGGACUGAGAUACGGCCCAG
rnacentral:rRNA from 1 species